AGAGGGUGUCGAAGCUACAGGAGGAUCGUGGACAGGUGUUUUCCAUCUUCUGAUUGGUAUCUGUAACCUGUGUGUGCGACAACCCUCAAAUCAUUUCCUCUAGCCCUUGGAGCUUUUGGAUUACCAGUCUGGAUUCUGCGUACCCUCCAGGACCGAGCAAUCUUCAAUCUUUCACUGGACCUAUUCUACUCUAUGACAAGCAUACUCCUCCCGCAGACCUGUCCACCCUCCAACGUAACUUCAGUUUCACCCUCCGCUCGCUCCCCACGGAAAGUACGAGUGCUGUGAACUCUACUUCAGUUUCCUUAACUCCGUCUCCCCUGGCGGAUCCCGCUCACCCUCUAUUGGAGAGACCAGACUCCUGUCACGUCCUUGUAGGAUUUUAGGAAAUAAUAAACUUCUUUUCACCCUGA